UUCAAAGCACCGUCAAUCUCGUUGGGCCAGUCGCACACAAUCGCCGCUGAUAGAAUCACAUUUAAUAUAAAUACGAUUUUAUUUUUUUUUCAACAACACCACCAAUCUCUCGGUAUUACUUAUAAAAUACUAAUAUUUAUAUAAAUAUUAUGUACGAUUGUUCAGUGUUUAUACCUAUACAUAAAUAAGUAUUAUAUUUAACAAACUGUAAUAUUUUAAACUACCUACACACUUACAAAUACUGUUAUAAAACACGCAACAGUGACACGAAUACAAAUAUUUUAAGAGCGCAAUGAGCAAUAAAAUCGCACGACUUUAAGUAAGUAGGUACUAUUAUAUUAAUUGUUUUGAAAACUUAAUUAAAAUAGCUAUUAUUACAAUCCUGCAAUUACAAAUUUCACUUGUUUUCGUAAAUAUGUUUAAAUAAUAAUAAUAUUAUGUUGUUAUUCCGUUCGAUGGGUUAUUGUUAAAACUGUGUAGGUUCAUGUACACAACGGCGUAUUUUUAACUUUUUCUGGGUGUGUAUGGACAAUAGUUUAAAUAACAAUUGCGUACAUAAAUUAUGCACUAUGUAUUAUGAUAUAAAUAAGUAUACUAUGUAAAUUUGAAUUGUUUAGUCGCCUAACUAAAACAAACUAUGAUCCAUCAAUAACAAUAAGUUUUUCCGUGCGAUAGUCUUCAUCGUAAAUGUACUUUAUCGCACUAUUUUUAACUACAACUUAGAUACCUACUCGUAUAAUAGCACAGCGACACGAAUAUACAUAAUAUAUGUAAUACAUUUUUUUUUACUUAGCACCCCUGGGCUCCUCCCCACCGCCGUAAAUAUGCCACUGUGUGUACACAUAUAGAUAUUUCAUUUGGACUAUAGAUUAUUGUGUAAACCCGUUGUUUUAUUAUAUUUGUAGGUAUUCUCGUUACAGCAUCAUCGACAAGUUAAGUUUAAUGGUCUACGUACCUAUUGCACCGCCGGAAUUCAGAACAUUGGUAGUCGUAAUUCUAAAACCAUGUUUUGAGAAAAAACGAUUUUAUUAUACGUCUUCAUAAAUACACGCAAAACAAAAAUUAUUUUAACUAUCGUCGUACAAUUAUGGAUUUAUGUUGUUUAUAAAUACAAUUAUACUAUACAAUUUAAAAAAAAUAAAUUAUCUCUUGAUCAACAUGUUCUUUUUUUUGAGUUAAAACGCUGUGAAUAAUAUAUAAUAGAAUAUAUAGUAGAACAAAG